rnacentral:rRNA from 1 species
UACGUAGGGGGCAAGCGUUGUCCGGAUUUAUUGGGCGUAAAGAGCGUGUAGGCGGUUUGGUAGGUCCGUUGUGAAAACUCGAGGCUCAACCUCGAGACGCCGAUGGAAACCAUCAGACUAGAGUCCGGAAGAGGAGAGUGGAAUUCCUGGUGUAGCGGUGAAAUGCGCAGAUAUCAGGAAGAACACCCGUGGCUAAGGCGGCUCUCUAGUACGGUACUGACGCUGUGACGCGAAAGCGUGGGGAGCGAACAGG